AUUGAACGCUGGUGGCAGGCUUAACACAUGCAAGUCGAGCGGAGAGAGGUAGCUUGCUACUGAUCUUAGCGGCGGACGGGUGAGUAAUGCUUAGGAAUCUGCCUAUUAGUGGGGGACAACAUUUCGAAAGGAAUGCUAAUACCGCAUACGUCCUACGGGAGAAAGCAGGGGAUCUUCGGACCUUGCGCUAAAUGAUGAGCCUAAGUCGGAUUAGCUAGUUGGUGGGGUAAAGGCCUACCAAGGCGACGAUCUGUAGCGGGUCUGAGAGGAUGAGCCGCCACACUGGGACGGAGACACGGCCCAGACUCCUACGGGAGGCAGCAGUGGGGAAUAUUGGACAAUGGGCGGAAGCCUGAUCCAGCCAUGCCGCGUGUGUGAAGAAGGCCUUAUGGUUGUAAAGCACUUUAAGCGAGGAGGAGGCUACCAGUAUUAAUACUACUGGAUAGUGGACGUUACUCGCAGAAUAAGCACCGGCUAACUCUGUGCCAGCAGCCGCCGUAACAC
rnacentral:rRNA from 1 species